rnacentral:misc_RNA from 1 species
GAUGAAGAACGUAGCGAAAUGCGAUAAGUAAUGUGAAUUGCAGAAUUCAGUGAAUCAUCGAAUCUUUGAACGCACAUUGCGCCCCUUGGUAUUCCGAGGGGCAUGCCUGUUCGAGCGUCAUUAUAACCCCAAGCUCAGCUUGGUGUUGGGGCCUGCUGCACUGGCAGCCCUUAAAAUCAGUGGCGGCGCCAUCUGGCUCUAAGCGUAGUAAUUCUUCUCGCUAUGGAGUCCUGGUGGAUGCUUGCCAUCAACCCCCAAUUUUUCUAUGGUUGACCUCGGAUCAGGUAGGGAUACCCGCUGAACUUAAGCAUAUCAAUAAGCGGAGGA